UGUAAAUUGAGCAUGGAGAUGACUUAAACGGACCAAAGAAAUAGUGACUGAAUACCACCCAGCAUUAUCCAGUGUUAAAAGAGAUUUUACCUUAAAGGCUGGCGACUUUCCUCUCAACCAGAAUAUACUCUGAGAACUUUUGAGAACAGAUAACUCAGACUGCAGAAGCAGAGAAGACAAUCUGUGCAACUGUCUCUUGGGAAGAUAAUUUUACUGCUUACGAACCAUCUGGAUUGCGUCAUUGGUGAGCUAAAU